UAUCGUUCUCCUUCUCAUCGUCAUCUCGCUCAUCGUUAUCCUUGUCCCCCCCAAUUUGAUUCACCUCCCCGAUUCAGAAAUUAGAAGGUGUUGAUAGAUUGGGGUUUCGAAUAAGUCAUUCGAUUGGCGGCGGCGUCGUAUUGGGUUUGGGGGCUGUAAAGUCAACCUUUUUUUACCGUACUCUUGCAAGCACUGAGAUAUAAAACACCAGUGGCGUUUCCCAGUCAAAUUAUGUCAGAAAGGCGGCCUGGGUCUGUUUGAGACCUAUCUAUCUAUCAAGUUUUUAAUUUCAGAGGAAGUAGGAAAAGAAUGGGGCAAAGCAACCACUAAACCACAACAUCUUUUCUUAUGAAAUUUGAGAGUACUUUUUCUGAGGGGUUACGUGAAUGCAUUGCGGUCCUGUUACCUCACAAUGGAAACUGCUUUUGUCUUGCAUGAGGGGAUUUGUGAAAGCUUGUCUGUACCUGCGUAUAGCUUCUGGUCUUCUAGUACUAGAAGCCAAGCUGUUUCUGCAUUUGGAGGAUUUGCUUUAUGUGGUUAAAGCCAAACCCCAUGAUCACAGGAUGAUGUGUGACGCACCGAUUGUGCAACCUAAGUUGAGCGAGUUAAAGAUUUAACUGAGCAGUUUCCAGCCGCUACACGCCUUGCUUUGGUACUGAAACAGUUCUUGGCAGAUCGUAGUCUGGAUCAGUCUUAUUCUGGUGGCUUGAUUUCCUACUGUUUGGUACUACUAAUUGUGCGUUUUCCCCAGCAUGAGUGUCUUCUUGGCCAACCUAUCAACCAAGACUUCGGAGACCUUCUGAUGAAUUUUCUUUAUUUUUUUGGGAAUGUUUUUGAUCCUCGGAAAAUGCGUAUUUCCGUACAGGGAAAUGGAGUUUAUAUAAAGAGGGAAAGAGGUUGCAGCAUCGACCCCAUACACAUUCAUGAUCCCCUUUUUCCGACUAAUAUUGUGGGACGCAAUUGCUUUUGGAUACAUCAAUGUAUCAUGGUUUUGCACCGCUGGGCUUCCUAGUGAUGUUGUUGAAGUUGGAGAAAUGUCUUUCCAUCUUCAUAAUUUUCUUUUGCUCUCAAGAAGUGAGUUCAUGGAAAGUUGAUUUAAGAAGCAUCCGAAGAUGGAGAAGAAGCAUGCAAUAUAAACUUCCCUGAUAUUCGUGGUAGGCUAAAACUUUCGAACUGGUAGCCAAGUUCUGCUAUGGGGUGAAACUUGAACUGACUGCCUCAAAUGUUGUAUGCCUGCGAUGUGCUGCUAAGCACCUUGAAAGGACUGCAGAGUAUGAGGAAGGCAAUUUAUCCUAGUCUUCUGAGGAGAGUUGGCUGCCCAUCGCUAGCAUCGUUUUCUGCAUUAUUUAUAUCCAGGCUUGAAGAGGAUUGAGCUCUGUGCAUUUGGAACCAAAAUCGACGAUACCAGCUCAUUGGCAUCAAAUGAUCAUGUCAGUAGAUUGCUUUCUUCCCAGGCCUUGAUUCAACUAAAUGACAAAAGAUCUCUUCUUUUGUAUAGUUUUCUUCUUAUUGUUGCUACCCAAAAUUUCUGGCGGAGACCUCCGGUGAGCUUAGUAAUUCAGGGGAGAAGGUUUCCAAACCAGAUAUGGUCUCAAUUAUUGUUAUUUUCGAGUUCUAGGUAUUUAGUAUGCUACUAGCUUAUGAUGUUCGAGCACUAGCUUUUUGUUGAUAGUUUGUUACUUUUCUUGCUGUUACUAAUGUUCUUGUGUCUGACAUGUCUUGCUGCCAUAUAUAUUUUCUUUUUUCUAUCGGAAUCUUGCUGCCAUGUUGAAUGGGAAAAUUUUGGUGGUUACUGACUAUGGCUUGCUGGAUACAUCUUGAUAGGGGAGCCAAAGAGGGCCGGUGGAUGGGACAUAUUCCUGUUUAAUUGUUGUUCAAGACCACCUUGAUUACAAGCUCAAUCCUAGUAUAUCCAUAUAUAGAAUUUCUUAAUCUUGUUGUCAAUCUAUUCCUUACAUGGAAAUAUAAAUUGUGUGUGAGCUCCUUGGAGAAAUUAAGUUUAAA